GAAACCGAAGUCCGGCCUUCAAUUACUCGUCAUACACCAUGAUCACGUUAUUUUCUUUAAAGAAAUGAUCGGCUUGGAGAUCGCCAUGGCAUCGGAUAAGCUUGAAAGAGUCGGUUCGGAGGUUAUACUAUUGACUAAUGGACUGCAGAUCGAUUUUUUGAAGGACCGACGGUAACUCAUCCACGGGAAGAUUUUCUUUCCCCAAAGUAGAGGCCCGUUUGGAUUGGGUCGCCUGACUGUGGG
rnacentral:misc_RNA from 1 species